UACGUAGGGUGCGAGCGUUAAUCGGAAUUACUGGGCGUAAAGCGUGCGCAGGCGGUUUUGUAAGCCCGAUGUGAAAUCCCCGGGCUUAACCUGGGAAUGGCAUUUGGGACUGCAAGGCUUGAGUGCGGCAGAGGAGACUGGAAUUCCUGGUGUAGCAGUGAAAUGCGUAGAUAUCAGGAGGAACACCGGUGGCGAAGGCGGGUCUCUGGGCCGAUACUGACGCUGAGGAGCGAAAGCGUGGGGAGCGAACAGG
rnacentral:rRNA from 1 species